GGGGAAUAUUGGACAAUGGGGGAAACCCUGAUCCAGCCAUGCCGCGUGAAUGAUGAAGGCCUUCGGGUUGUAAAGUUCUUUUGGUGGGGACGAUAAUGACGGUACCCACAGAAUAAGCUCCGGCUAACUUCGUGCCAGCAGCCGCGGUAAUACGAAGGGGGCUAGCGUUGUUCGGAAUUACUGGGCGUAAAGGGCGCGUAGGCGGUUUAACAAGUCAGGUGUGAAAGCCCCGAGCUUAACUCGGGAACUGCGCUUGAGACUGUUAUUCUUGAAUUCGGGAGAGGUGAGUGGAAUUCCCAGUGUAGAGGUGAAAUUCGUAGAUAUUGGGAGGAACACCAGUGGCGAAGGCGGCUCACUGGACCGACAUUGACGCUGAGGCGCGAAAGCGUGGGGAUCAAAC
rnacentral:rRNA from 1 species